CGGCGUGUAGCUCAGUCAGCAGAGUGCCCGGCUCAGGACCGGGAGGGCGCAGGAGCAAAGCCUGCCACGUCGGC
rnacentral:tRNA from 1 species